rnacentral:rRNA from 1 species
GACGGAGGGUGCAAGCGUUGCUCGGAAUCAUUGGGCGUAAAGGGUGCGUAGGCGGCUUUUUAAGUCUGACGUGAAAGCCCAAGGCUCAGCCUUGGAAGUGCGCCAGAAACUGAAAGGCUAGAGUGCCGGAGGGGAGAGUGGAAUUCCUGGUGUAGCGGUGAAAUGCGUAGAUAUCAGGAGGAAUACCGGUGGCGAAAGCGGCAUCCUGGACCGACACUGACGCUGAUGAGCGAAAGCCAGGGGAGCAAACGGG